AGGAAACUUGGAAUGACUUUUCAUAGGUUUCCCAGAGACUAUGGGUUGAGGAGGAAUUGGAAGUUUGUCGGCUUAGACCUGUGUCAUUCCAUCAGUGUUAAACUUCCCGGCUCAUCUUGGAAGAGUACGUGCCAGAAAGACCACGACCAAGCAGCCUUGAGAUCUUAGACAGCGUCUCCCUCAGACCAAAGAACUACAGACUCUUCACAACCUGCUCAAACUCUUGGUACAGGACCUCACCACACGGGUCAAGAAGGUUUCCAUCUCAUUUCUACUCUGAAGCUCACCUUCUCCUGCUCAAACUGCUG
ensembl:lncRNA